AUGGCGGACGAGGCAAAGGCGCCCAGUGCCGACGCGAUGUCAUCCGUGGCGAAGGCGGCGCCGGUGACGGCCGACCGGCCGGUCCGGGCAGACCUGGAGACGCUCGUUCCGAAGCCCUACCUGGCCCGAGCUCUGGUUGCGCCCGACGUGUACCAUCCCGAAGGAAGCAAGGAGGGGCACGAGCACCGGCAGAAGAGCGUGCUGCAGCAGCAUGUGGCCUUCUUCGACCUCGACGGCGACGGCAUCGUCUAUCCCUGGGAGACUUACGGAGGACUAAGGGCGCUGGGCUUCAACGUGGUCGCGUCCUUCAUCAUGGCAGUCGUCAUAAACGUUGGCCUAAGCUAUCCGACUCUGCCUAGCUGGAUGCCAUCUCCCCUGUUCCCAGUCUACAUCAGCAACAUGCACAGGGCUAAGCAUGGGAGCGACACCUCAACGUACGACACUGAAGGAAGGUUCAUGCCGGUGAAUUUCGACAACAUAUUCAGCAAGAACGCUCGCACGGUGCCGGACAAACUCACCUUGGGUGAGAUCUGGAGGAUGACCGAAGGCCAGCGGCUGGCCUUCGACUUACCUGGACGUUUGACUUUGAUCAAAUUUUAUAUGCAGAGUAAAAAGAAAUGGAGGAAGUACGUGCUUGCCAGAGACAAGGACGGGCUCCUUUCAAGGGAGGCAGUUCGUGGCUGCUUCAAUGGAAGCCUGUUCGAGUCCAUUGCCCGGCAAAGGAAAGAAGCACACCAGAAGAAGUAA
rnacentral:rRNA from 1 species